rnacentral:rRNA from 1 species
AUUGAACGCUGGCGGCAGGCCUAACACAUGCAAGUCGAGCGGAUGAAGGGAGCUUGCUCCUGGAUUCAGCGGCGGACGGGUGAGUAAUGCCUAGGAAUCUGCCUGGUAGUGGGGGAUAACGUCCGGAAACGGGCGCUAAUACCGCAUACGUCCUGAGGUAGAACGUGGGGGAUCUUCGGACCUCACGCUAUCAGAUGAGCCUAGGUCGGAUUAGCUAGUUGGUGGGGUAAAGGCCUACCAAGGCGACGAUCCGUAACUGGUCUGAGAGGAUGAUCAGUCACACUGGAACUGAGACACGGUCCAGACUCCUACGGGAGGCAGCAGUGGGGAAUAUUCGACAAUGGGCGAAAGCCUGAUCCAGCCAUGCCGCGUGUGUGAAGAAGGUCUUCGGAUUGUAAAGCACUUUAAGUUGGGAGGAAGAGCAGUAAGUGAAUACCUGGCUGUUUUGACGGUACCAACAGAAUAAGCACCGGCUAACUUCGUG